rnacentral:lncRNA from 1 species
UUUACAUCCCUAAGUAAGGCCGACUCAUGGUACCGCUAUCUCUGGUCUCGGUGGUAGGGCGCUAACUAUGGAGCUACGCCCUCGCCUCGCGUCGCCGCGCCAUUCACGUGCGAACCUGUAACACCCCAAAACCACGUGGGGUGAGAACCAACUCCAUGGUUCCCAGUGGGUACGGCCACCCAAGGGAAAAGCUCGACCAAUAGGUCCAAGGGAGGCAACUGCAAGUUAGUUCAAUAAACAGAUAGAUAUAUAUCUUUAUUAUACAACUAAUAAAACCAUGCUUUGUCUCACGAAUGCAAUAAUACCAUGCUAUAUGCGAAUCAUGCAACUAUACAAGUAGAAUAAAUGAUUUUACGUUGUAUCAUGCUAUCCACAGCUUUUUCAUAAUUUAUACAUCUUAUCACUUUACAUCAUUGGUUAUUUGCUCCUAAGGUUUUCCUCUACCCUAGCCAAGCUAACCACCCGACUCGGUCUCAAGUCAAUCAACUGCGGAAUACCGCACCAAAACUAGGCUCGAGGUGAUGGACGUCUCACAUACACCUCAGCCCUAAAUCCUCUCGACUGGGAUACCAAACCCGUAACACAUAAUGCUGUACAUUCACUUGGCUUUGACCCAAUCUUACCGGUUAACCAUGUUAACCCCAAUAACUCACAACCCAAAAUCCCUUAAUAGCGGGGGACUCGAACCUCCCUAAGGACCGUCUUCUGCGGGGACUUUACCACGCCUAGUGGUGACCAACUCCGGAGCGCACCGCCCGAGGGGGAGCUACCUCCCUCAAGCCAAGACUUAUCGUGAGUAUCGAUCAAUCCUCAACUUGAGUAUUCAUAGCCACUAGUCACAAUGCCAAUGUCACAAUAGGUUUCUACCUAUUUAAUCAUGCUACUCUAUGUCAACUUGGUCCAAUGCCACUCUUGGUUAAACUAUGUUUAACAACUAUAUCCUCUAUGCAUAUCAAUGUCUCUAUUGUCAAUGUCGCCUUUGUUUACUAAUGUCCAAGUCCAACUCUCACAUUCACACAAUAAUAGGGUUCUAACAUACAUGUUCAUUAUGGUUCUACCUUUCUCUAUGUUCAACUACGUUAGAAACAUGUCAUUGAAAGUAACCAAGGUUCACAUGUACUUAGUCCUAUUAUGUAUGAAUGAUACAAAUAUAUAUGCUCAAUGCCACAAGUGUUUGCUAGGUUCAUGACACUAGGUUCACACUAUACUUGUUCAACCUAUAUUCAAUACACUAGGUUUAAUGCCACUUGAUGUCCAACCUAUGUUCUUUGGCACUAGAUUCAUAUCCUCCAUGUCCAACCUAUGUCCAUGACUCUAGGUUUAAUGCCACUCGAUCUAAUGUAUAUAGAUUGUCCAUAUGCACAUUUCCAUUUCUUAACAUUAGUAUCUCUACAACAUGAUCAUCAAGUAUAUCUUAGCAUUAGCCACAUGCUUGCAUUUAUUAUUUCUACAUCAUGCUUAUCAUACCAUUACUUAGCAUUAUCCCCAUGCAUGCUUAUCAUGUAAACUUUAACAUUACUCAAUGCAUUCAUCUAGCACUAUUUACACUAAGUCAUCAUGCAUUCCUCUUAUCAUGUUCUUAUAAUGUUAACAUUCAUAUGCCCUUUAUCUUAUGCAUUCAAAGCAUUAAUCACAUGCAUUUAUCUAGCAUUUCUAUAAUAUGUUAACAUGCAUUCUUUUCACAUUCUUACAUUAUGUCAAAUGCAUUCCUCUAGCAUUUCACAUUAUAUGUCAACAUGCAUCAAUAUGAAAUCUCAUUUCUUAGACAUAAAGGGCGACCUAGUCGCUUCGGUAAGCACAACCCACCUCAUUUCGCAUUCCGAUUGCUUGUCGACACUUACAAUCGACCGCCCGCGGCACCCGUAUCCGGCACGGCCCGAUACUGCAACUGCGCCUCAACCGUGCUCCGCUUCGCAGCCCCGAAAAUUAUAGGUCUUCGGUUAUGUGCCACGAUGCCUCAAAUCCAUUUCCACGAUUUUACGACGUCGCCUCGGCCCUCCCGGCGGACCCGAAGCCUAAACGUCCAUUUCUUUAAUAACUUUGUAACGGCUCGUCGGAUUGCCGAACCGUCUUCGCCAACGCGUUUCGUUACCUAGCAAUUAGGUUUACGAAGGAUCAAAUGAGAUCAAACCCUCAUAUUUUGAAAGUUUGCAUUUUUGUGCCCUAAUAUGAAUUAACCUCUAAAUAAUCCAAAUCAAAUGGAGUAAACAUGUUUAGAAUGCUCAUUAGAGGCUAUUAGAACACUUAAAACUAAGGAUUAAGCCAAAUCCUAAAAGCUUACCUCAAUGUGAACGCCGCGACGACAACACACCGCUCCAACGGCCGCACGAAAGCCCGAUCCGUCGCCUCCAACGCGUUCGCAAGCAUCUUCUCCACCAACCCUCCAAUUUUUAGAGAGAGAUUUAGAGAGAUGAGAGAGAUAUCUAGAGAGAGAUAGAGGUGUUUCUCUCUCUACUCUAUGCGUGCGUGGGUGUGUGCUCGGGCUGAAGGAGAAAGAAGAAGAAGCAUCAGCUUCUUUAUAAUGCACCCCAAGGCACUAUUCACUUCAGGCAGUUUUUGCAGUUCGGAACAGUUGGAGCCCUUCUGAAUGUCUGUUUGAGCUCAAAUUUGACAGGCAGGCUCAGUUUAACGUACUAAGUAAGAAUAUAUUUUAAGUUUUCAGUUUCGACCCCAUUUGGUCACCGAAAAUUGUGUCGAACUGUAAUCUUUAUCAGAUAACUCUCGGAUUUUAUUUCUCACUCUACGGGAGUCAGAAAAAUAUGAAACUUUAAAUCUAGCCUCAUAAAAAUAUUUCUGGCUCAUCCUCCAAUUUUUAUAAUUUUCUGAGACUGUGCAUUUUCUGCUAAUCUAUCUGUCCCAUUUCCAACAGAAAAUUCUAGAUCUUCUGCUUUCAUUCCGAUUUCAGCACAAGUCACUUCUGAUUUAUGUUUUACUUCUAUAAACCCAAGAAAAAUAGUUUCUCACGCUAUUUUUAUUUAUUUUUAUUUUUAUACCAAAAUCUGGUAUGUUACAACCAUACUCGGUAUACCAUUGGUCACACAAUCUAUCACGUGGCAUUCCACGCUCCCGGGUCUAAGCUCGGACUACCGUCCUGACCAGAACUCUGCCCUACUCGUAGGUACCGGGCCGCUGUCACUCACAGCUGACUGCGCCUGCCCAAAGGGCCCAGGCUCCACAGUCCACAAAUGGUCCAGGCACGGGUCGUCCCCAAGCACUACCCACCGUCGUCGUUCUACACGACAUACUCUACCGAGUCACACGUACCAAUAUCAGCUCUUAUGCACCUAGUGCGAGUCACCAGUCCCACGAGUGAUCCAUGGCACCCUUCACACCUAGCAAUGCUCAAGUGCUACUGCCAACUCACUCACUCGGCUGAAUACGCAUCCGCACUCUACGGGUCUCUACACUCGAGCGCUCUACGCCUCUACAGCGUUCCACACGAAGUCCAACAUUAGGCAAUCUUGCCUAUGCACACCGGCCGCACGAGCACAACCGCCUACCUCACCUUGAGGUACUACUAGGCCCACGUGCUCAAACUUGGCCACUAAUCGACCGUUCUCUCAACAGUGAUGCUACUUUCACUAUUCGAUCUACCGGAAUAACAUCCGAAAUUUUCGGACUACCCGGGUGCCCAUAGGCAUUAUGGCUCGACUCUCGCAAUUUACUACUUAUAUUGCUCUGAGAGUCAUUUCGACACUUCUAUCUGUACCGCGAGUCUCACUUCUCGCCAUAGAUUACUUCUAGCACUUCGCUAUUGCCAUCUGGCUCUAUACCUGUACUGGCAGGUACUACGCCCUCACAUAAUACAAAACUCCAUUUCUAGAGCAAUCAAAUCUAUCUCCAAAAAUCCACCAUGGGAGAGAGCUUAGAAGCUUACCUCUCCAAGAAGCUCCAACCAAGGAGAAAAUGAGGAAGAUGAGGAAGACCUCCUUCUUCUUCUUUUUCUUCCCUUUCCUUUCUUCUUCCUCCUCUUGUCUGCUAGAGAAAGAAAGAGAGAUAUGAGAGGGUGUGUUGGUGAGAAAUAAGAGAAAAGAGCUCUCAUAUCCCUCACAUAGCCCCACAUGUUGCAUAAGUGCAAACAAGCCCCUCAACUUUUAUUCUUUUACACUGCCCUGACUGGGCCAUUUUCGGGUUCGGGGACCAGUCUCCCCGACGAGGGACCGGUCUCCGAGAGCUUCUCCCCGCAGUCAGCAGAGCUCACACCCGAUGCAACCGGUCUUUCUUUGGGGGACCGGUCUCUUAGGGACCGGUCUCUCCAGCAGGGACCGGUCUCCGAGAGCUGUCCACCAAGGACUUAGCCGAUUUUUCUCUCCUCUUGCUACCUGCGCGUUUGGGGACCGAUCACUCCCCACAGGGACCGGUCUCCGAGAACAGAAAACUUACAGUUUGCAGAUUUUCAUUUCCAAGGCUCUCGAAGAUCCCCAGUAAUGCACUUUUGCAUUAUUUGACGCCUCCGACCUUUCCAAAGCGUACCAACCUCGCUCUUUGGUCAAUUUGACCAAGGUUCGAUACUUGGUUACCGAAAUUUCGGUAUAUUACAUACCCACUCGAUAACUAGCCGAUCCCGGACAAAGUCCAACUCUCGGCUCUGGAGAUUUCACUUCGUUACGACCAUACUAUAUGGUACACCCCUGGUGUUAAAUCGGUAACACAUGUUCCAGAACUUCGAUUUUGCACCGCUUCGACUCCAAUUCGCGUCGAGCAAUGCUAAAACUAUUCUAACUCUUUUAGAACUUAAUUCUAACUCUUCCAACAUUAUUGGAAUAUCAAUUGGACUUUGUCCAACUACUUCUCUCGACGCACUUUGGUCAAUUUGACCAAAAGUGAUCUAACACGAUGAGGAUUUCGUUAAUUUCUCAAAGGUCACAAGGGCCGCCAAAACUCGCGAAGUUCCAAGUCUCCACUCGCCUCAAAUUGCCCAGGGACACCGCUUGGCCCAUCCCGUGCCGAUCUAAAAGAAGAUCGCCUACAUAGUACAAUCGCUUCCUAAAACGCGACAACUCUAUUAAUCCUCGACCAUCUAGGUCGAACACAAGACACUUAAUACCGACUCAAAUCAGGCGAAAGUCACGCAAGGCUGUCUAUUCUCAUUACUCGGUUUCAUGUUGUAUGCAUCCAACAUGAACACCCUCGGUUGAGAAUAAACCACACCUUGAAUCUACCUCUAACAUCCGUUUUAGAGGUUUACAACAUAACCCAAUCAAUUUAUCUUUCGCCAAUAGUCACAAGUCCUCGUCUCUCACGAGCCUUAAUCUCCUAUGGUUUACUAUCCUAGGGUCUCCUAGGUCCAACUAAACCAUUUUCUAUUAUUCUUUUUGUGUUCUUUUUAUGCUCUGAUACCAUCUUAUCUGUCACGCCCCGAGCCCGCCUAUUUGGUCGGUUUCGGGCAUGCCAACAGAUCGCCGAACGGAUAGGGUUUCUCCUGUACUGCGGACAGAGUCUCCCCUGUACGUUCAAGGCAUAGCAAUCAAUACAAUGUACGAAGUUCCAACCAGGAACACAUUUCAAUCAAGAUUGCAUAAUGGAAGGUAUCAAACAACAUAACACAUCCUAUAUUAUUACAUUCAUUCAUAUUCAUGCAUUUUACACCUCAACUACCAUUCCUUUUUCAUCCAAAUGCAAUCUAAAUUAUUACAACAUUUAUAUCUUUAAUACAUCAUGUUACAUUGUGUUCUUUUUAUUUCUUUAACCCCUAAGGUAUGUCGACGGGGUACUGCUAGCUCUGGUCUCUGGGGUAGGGCGCUAUCUACGAAGCUACGCCCUUUCCUCGCGCUGCCGCGCUGCUCACGUGCGAACCUGUAAACACCCCAAAACCACGUGGAGUGAGAACCAACUCCAUGGUUCCCAGUGGGUACGGCCACCCAAGGGAAAAGUUCGACCAAUAGGUCCAAGGGAGGCAAUUGCAAGUUAGUUCAAUAAACAGAUAGAUAUAUAUCUUGAUUAUGCAACGAAUAAAACCAUGCAUUGCCUCACGAAUGCAAUAAUGCAAUGCUAUAUGCAAAUCAUGCAAUAAUGCAACUAUGCAACCAACUAGUAGUUCAUUUGACACUACUUUCAAUUCUGCUAACCAUAGCUCAUCCAUUCGAUAUCUAAGGUUUCCUCUAUCUUAGAUUCUUGUCAAUCACCGUUUUAAUCAUAAAGUUUCAUCUACCUUUACAAGGCUAACCACCCGACUCGGUCUUGAGUCAAUCGUCUGCGGAGUACCGCACUAGAACCAGGCUCGAGGCGAUGGACGUCUCACAUACACCUCAGCCCUAAAUCCUCUCGACUAGGAUACCAAAUCCAUAACUCAUAAUGCAUACUUGUUGUACACUCAUUUGGCUAUGACCCAAUCUUACCGGUUAACCAUGUUAACCCCAAUAACUCACAACCAAAUCCCUUAAUAACGGGGGACUCGAACCUCCCUAGGGACCGUCAACUGGUGGGACUUUACCACGCCCAGUGGUGACCAACUCCGGAGCGCACCGCCCGAGGGGGAGCUACCUCCCUCAAGCCAAGACGUAACGUGAGUAUCGAUCCAAUCCUCAACUUGAGGAUUCAUAGCCACUCGUCACAAUGCCAAUGUCAUGAUAGGUCUCUACCUAUUUAAUCAUGCCACUCUCUAUGUCAACUUGGACCAAUGUCAAUAUGGUUAAACUAUGUUUAACAAUCACUUUCUUGAUGCCAAUCAUGUCUCUAUUGUCAUUGUCACCCUUGUUUACUAAUGUUCAAGUCCAACUCUCACAUUUACACAAUAAUAGGGUCCUAACAUACAUGAAUGACACCAGAAUAUAUAUGAUCAAUCACCACAAGUGUUUGCUAGGUUCAAGAUGCUAGGUUUAAUGCCACUCGAUCUAAUAUAUAUAUAGAUUGUCCACUAUGUUCCACAACAUGGCAAUAUGUCAUCAAGUAUGUUUUUCUAUUUAACAUAAUCCACAAUAUGUAAAUUCAUAAUAUAUCAUCAUGCACAUAUACCACUAGCAUCACAUGAUAUGUCAACAUACAUAUAGUCAUUAUCCAAAAUAGUCCAUACUUAGCAUCUCAUGCAUUCUUUUAGCACUUAAUUCAUUAUGCAUUACAUUUAGCAUAUUCUACAACAUGUCAUCAUACAUUCCUUUUAUGAUGUUCUUAUAAUGCUAACAUUCAUACGCCCUUUAUAUUAUGCAUUCAAAGCAUUAAUCAUAUGCAUUUAUCUAGCAUUUCUAUAGUAUGUUAACAUGCAUUCUUUUCGCAUUCUUAUAUUAUGUCAAUAUGCAUCAAUAUGAAAUCUCAUUUCUCUUAGACAUACAGGCGACCUAGUCGCUUCGGUAAGCACAACCCACCUCAUUUCGCAUUCCUAUUGCUUGUCGACACUUGCAAUCGGCCUCCCGUGGCACCCGGCACCCGGUUUGGCCCGAUCUCUCGCGCGACCACCCGAACGGCCUCCAAUCCACGAU